AGAGUUUGAUCCUGGCUCAGAACGAACGCUAGCGGCGUGCUUAACACAUGCAAGUCAUACGGUUUGUAGCAAUACAAACAGUGGCGCACGGGUGAGUAAUGCAUGAAUGAUCUGCCCUGUAGAUGGGGAUAACUUAUUGAAAAGUAAGCUAAUACCCGAUAAGCAUCUAGAAUUAAAGAUUUAGAUGGAAAGGUGGGGACCGCAAGGCCUGCCACUAUAGGAUGAGUUCAUGUCCCAUUAGCUAGUUGGUAGAGUAAAAGCCUACCAAGGCUCAGAUGGGUAGCUGGUCUGAGAGGAUGAUCAGCCACACUGGAACUGAGACACGGUCCAGACUCCUACGGGAGGCAGCAGUGGGGAAUAUUGCGCAAUGGGCGAAAGCCUGACGCAGCAACGCCGCGUGAGCGAUGAAGGCCCUCGGGUUGUAAAGCUCUUUCGAUCGGGAAAAGUGCAAUAGUUCUAAUACAGCUAUUGUGUGAUACGUACCGAUAUAAGAAGCACCGGCUAACUUCGUGCCAGCAGCCGCGGUAAUACGAAGGGUGCAAGCGUUGUUCGGAUUUACUGGGCGUAAAGAGUUCGUAGGCGGAAUAAUAAGUUAAUGGUAAAAUCCUUGGGCUUAACCCAAGACUCGCCAUUAAAACUGUUGUUCUUGAGUUUUGGAGAGGGUAAUGGAAUUGCUGGUGUAGGAGUAACAUCCGUAGAUAUCAGCAGGAACGCCGGAAGCGAAAGCGAUUACCUGGCCAAACACUGACGCUGAGGAACGAAAGCGUGGGGAGCAAACAGGAUUAGAUACCCUGGUAGUCCACGCCCUAAACGAUGAUAACUAGAUGUUGGUGAAAUUAUUUUUAUCAGUAUCGUAGCUUACGCAUUAAGUUAUCCGCCUGGGAAGUACGGUCGCAAGGCUAAAACUCAAAGGAAUUGACGGGGACCCGCACAAGCGGUGGAGUAUGUGGUUUAAUUCGAUGCAACGCGAAGAACCUUACCUAGGCUUGACAUACCUUGAAUAACACAGAAACGUGUUAGGCCCGCAAGGGACAAGGAUACAGGUGCUGCAUGGCUGUCGUCAGCUCGUGUCGUGAGAUGUUGGGUUAAGUCCCGCAACGAGCGCAACCCUUACCUUUAGUUGCUACCAUUUAGUUGGGCACUCUAAAGAAACUGCCGGUGAUAAAUCGGAGGAAGGUGGGGAUGACGUCAAGUCCUCAUGGCCCUUAUGCCUAGGGCUACACACGUACUACAAUGGUCAAAACAAACCGACGCAAUACAGUAAUGUGGAGCUAAUCGGAAAAACGUGGCCUCAGUUCGGAUUGUGGUCUGCAACUCGACCACAUGAAGUUGGAAUCGCUAGUAAUCGCAGAUCAGCAAGCUGCGGUGAAUACGUUCCCGGGUCUUGUACACACCGCCCGUCAAACCACGAAAGUUGUUUAUGCCAGAAGUUGAUAGGCUAACCGUAAGGAGGCCGUUAACCAAGGUGUAGGCGAUGAUUGGGGUUAAGUCGUAACAAGGUAGCCGUAGGGGAACCUGCGGCUGGAUCACCUCCUU
rnacentral:rRNA from 1 species